GACGAACGCUGGCGGCGUGCUUAACACAUGCAAGUCGAACGGAAAGGCCCUGCUUUUGUGGGGUGCUCGAGUGGCGAACGGGUGAGUAACACGUGAGUAACCUGCCCUUGACUUUGGGAUAACUUCAGGAAACUGGGGCUAAUACCGGAUAGGAGCUCCUGCUGCAUGGUGGGGGUUGGAAAGUUUCGGCGGUUGGGGAUGGACUCGCGGCUUAUCAGCUUGUUGGUGGGGUAGUGGCUUACCAAGGCUUUGACGGGUAGCCGGCCUGAGAGGGUGACCGGCCACAUUGGGGCUGAGAUACGGCCCAGACUCCUACGGGAGGCAGCAGUGGGGAAUAUUGCACAAUGGGCGGAAGCCUGACGCAGCAACGCCGCGUGCGGGAUGACGGCCUUCGGGUUGUAAACCGCUUUCGCCUGUGACGAAGCGUGAGUGACGGUAAUGGGUAAAGAAGCACCGGCUAACUACGUG
rnacentral:rRNA from 1 species